rnacentral:sRNA from 1 species
GAUGCCAGGGUCAGAAAGUGAAAAGCCGUUCGUGCUCGCACGAAAAGGCUUUUAACCUUCAGACCCGCCCAAACAUGAGAAAGGAGCGAUUUGCAGGGCAAAUCAGCGGAGUUCGAAUGUUUGUAGAAUUGUGGGAGCAGCGAAGCUGCGGAGCAAUUCGAAGGCAU